GACGAACCGUGCGAACGUUGUUCGGAAUCACUGGGCUUAAAGGGCGCGUAGGCGGGUCAGCAAGUCAGGGGUGAAAUCCCACGGCUCAACCGUGGAAGUGCCUUUGUGACUGCGAGGCUAGAGUAUGGCAGAGGGGGGUGGAAUUCCACGUGUAGCAGUGAAAUGCGUAGAGAUGUGGAGGAACACCGAUGGCGAAGGCAGCCCCCUGGGCCAAUACUGACGCUCAUGCACGAAAGCGUGGGGAGCAAACAGG
rnacentral:rRNA from 1 species